UCGAGACACAGUUUCCACCACAUACCACAUAUAUUCCCAAUGAAUAAAAGUAACUUUAUAGUACUACGUGUAUUAAUUAACAAGAAUAAGACAUGGGUUGGGUUGGUUCGGUUACCCAUGGAUGGAGAAAAAUAAACCGAACCCGAUCAUUGCUAACCACAGAAAACCGAUAUUUUGGACUUUUGGACCCGUUUUGCUUGUUGAACCCGACCCGUUUUGGGUUUUUAAUCUCG
rnacentral:lncRNA from 1 species